UACAGAGGCCCCAAGCGUUACUGAGAAUCACUGGGUUUAAAGGGUGCGUAGGUGGCGCGUUAAGUCCGUUGUGAAAUCCCUUGGCUCAACCAAGGAACUGCUUCGGAUACUGGCGUGCUUGAGGCGAGUAGGGGUCACUGGAACUGACGGUGGAGCGGUGAAAUGCGUAGAUAUCGUCAGGAACGCCGAUGGUGAAGACAGGUGACUGGGCUCGAUCUGACACUGAGGCACGAAAGCGUGGGGAGCGAACGGG
rnacentral:rRNA from 1 species